AGUGAACGCUGGCGGUAGGCCUAACACAUGCAAGUCGAACGGCAGCACAGUAAGAGCUUGCUCUUACGGGUUUCGAGUGGCGGACGGGUGAGGAAUACAUCGGGAUCUACUUUUUCGUGGGGGAUAACGUAGGGAAACUUACGCUAAUACCGUAUACGACCUACGGUUGAAAUUACGUGAUCUUCGCACUUUCCGCGCUUCAAUGAGCAGAUGUCGGAUUAGCUAGUUGGCGGGGUAAAGGCCCACCAAGGCGACGAUCCGUAGCUGGUCUGAGAGGAUGAUCAGCCACACUGGAACUGGGACACGGUCCAGACUCCUACGGGAGGCAGCAGUGGGGAAUAUUGGACAAUGGGCGCAAGCCUGAUCCAGCCAUACCGCGUGGGUGAGGAAGGCCUUCGGGUUGUAAAGCCCUUUUGUUGGGAAAGAAAAGCAGCAGGUUAAUACCCCGCUGUUCUGACGGUACCCAAAGAAUAAGCACCGGCUAACUUCGUG
rnacentral:rRNA from 1 species